rnacentral:rRNA from 1 species
AUUGAACGCUGGCGGCAUGCCUUACACAUGCAAGUCGAACGGCAGCACGGGUGCUUGCACCUGGUGGCGAGUGGCGAACGGGUGAGUAAUACAUCGGAACGCACCUUAUCGUGGGGGAUAACGCAGCGAAAGCUGUGCUAAUACCGCAUACGCCCUGAGGGGGAAAGCGGGGGAUCGCAAGACCUCGCGCGAUUAGAGCGGCCGAUGCCUGAUUAGCUUGUUGGUGGGGUAAAAGCCCACCAAGGCGACGAUCAGUAGCUGGUCUGAGAGGACGAUUAGCCACACUGGGACUGAGACACGGACCAGACUCCUACGGGAGGCAGCAGUGGGGAAUUUUGGACAAUGGGGGCAAACCUGAUCCAGCAAUGCCGCGUGAGUGAAGAAGGCCUUCGGGUUGUAAAGCUCUUUUGUCAGGGAAGAAACACCGGCUCUAACACAGUCCGGGAAUGACGGUACCUGAAGAAUAAGCACCGGCUAACUACGUGCCAGCAGCCGCGGUAA